AGGUAAGCUACUAAGAGCGAAUGGUGGAUGCCUUGACUGGUAAAGGCGAUGAAGGACGUACUAGACUGCGAUAAGCUACGGGGAGCUGUCAAGAAGCUUUGAUCCGUAGAUUUCCGAAUGGGGCAACCCAAUGUAUAGAGAUAUACAUUACCUAUAUAGGAGCGAACGAGGGGAAUUGAAACAUCUUAGUACCCUCAGGAAAAGAAAUCAAUAGAGAUUGCGUCAGUAGCGGCGAGCGAAAGCGCAAGAGGGCAAACCCAGUGCUUGCACUGGGGGUUGUAGGACUGCAAUGUGCAAGAGCUGAGUUUAGCAGAACAUUCUGGAAAGUAUAGCCAUAGAGGGUGAUAGUCCCGUAUGCGAAAAACAAAGCUUAGCUAGCAGUAUCCUGAGUAGGGCGGGACACGAGGAAUCCUGUCUGAAUCCGGGUCGACCACGAUCCAACCCUAAAUACUAAUACCAGAUCGAUAGUGCACAAGUACCGUGAGGGAAAGGUGAAAAGAACUGAGGUGAUCAGAGUGAAAUAGAACCUGAAACCAUUUGCUUACAAUCAUUCAGAGCACUAUGUAGCAAUACAGUGUGAUGGACUGCCUUUUGCAUAAUGAGCCUGCGAGUUGUGGUGUCUGGCAAGGUUAAGCAAACGCGAAGCCGUAGCGAAAGCGAGUCUGAAUAGGGCGCUUAGUCAGAUGCUGCAGACCCGAAACGAAGUGAUCUAUCCAUGAGCAAGUUGAAGCUAGUGUAAGAACUAGUGGAGGACUGAACCCAUAGGCGUUGAAAAGCCCCGGGAUGACUUGUGGAUAGGGGUGAAAGGCCAAUCAAACUUCGUGAUAGCUGGUUCUCUCCGAAAUAUAUUUAGGUAUAGCGUUGUGUCGUAAUAUAAGGGGGUAGAGCACUGAAUGGGCUAGGGCAUACACCAAUGUACCAAACCCUAUCAAACUCCGAAUACCUUAUAUGUAAUCACAGCAGUCAGGCGGCGAGUGAUAAAAUCCGUCGUCAAGAGGGAAACAACCCAGACUACCAGCUAAGGUCCCUAAAUCUUACUUAAGUGGAAAACGAUGUGAAGUUACUUAAACAACCAGGAGGUUGGCUUAGAAGCAGCCAUCCUUUAAAGAAAGCGUAAUAGCUCACUGGUCUAGUGAUUUUGCGCGGAAAAUAUAACGGGGCUAAAGUAAGUACCGAAGCUGUAGACUUGCACACAACUUAGAUUAUUUAAGUUUAGAAUAUGAGAAACUAAGUUAUAUGUUUAGUUAUAUUUUUACUGAUUUUUAUAGAGUAAAGAUAGAAAUAAAACUUAGUAAAAUCAGUAAAAAUAUUCUUAGGCUAAAGUUAAGUAGUUUAAGUUGUGUGCAAGUGGUAGGAGAGCGUUCUAUUUGCGUCGAAGGUAUACCGGUAAGGAGUACUGGAGCGAAUAGAAGUGAGCAUGCAGGCAUGAGUAGCGAUAAUUAAUGUGAGAAUCAUUAACGCCGUAAACCCAAGGUUUCCUACGCGAUGCUCGUCAUCGUAGGGUUAGUCGGGUCCUAAGUCGAGUCCGAAAGGGGUAGACGAUGGCAAAUUGGUUAAUAUUCCAAUACCAACAUUAGUGUGCGAUGGAAGGACGCUUAGGGCUAAGGGGGCUAGCGGAUGGAAGUGCUAGUCUAAGGUUGUAGGAGGUUAUACAGGCAAAUCCGUAUAACAAUACUCCGAGAACUGAAAGGCUUUUUGAAGUCUUCGGAUGGAUAGAAGAACCCCUGAUGCCGUCGAGCCAAGAAAAGUUUCUAAGUUUAGCUAAUGUUGCCCGUACCGUAAACCGACACAGGUGGGUGGGAUGAGUAUUCUAAGGCGCGUGGAAGAACUCUCUUUAAGGAACUCUGCAAAAUAGCACCGUAUCUUCGGUAUAAGGUGUGGUUAGCUUCGUACUAGGAUUUACUCCGAAAGCGAAGAAACUUACAACAAAGAGUCCCUCCCGACUGUUUACCAAAAACACAGCACUCUGCUAACUCGUAAGAGGAUGUAUAGGGUGUGACGCCUGCCCGGUGCUCGAAGGUUAAUUGAUGGGGUUAGCAUUAGCGAAGCUCUUGAUCGAAGCCCGAGUAAACGGCGGCCGUAACUAUAACGGUCCUAAGGUAGCGAAAUUCCUUGUCGGUUAAAUACCGACCUGCAUGAAUGGCGUAACGAGAUGGGAGCUGUCUCAAAGAGGGAUCCAGUGAAAUUGUAGUGGAGGUGAAAAUUCCUCCUACCCGCGGCAAGACGGAAAGACCCCGUGGACCUUUACUACAGCUUGACACUGCUACUUGGAUAAGAAUGUGCAGGAUAGGUGGGAGGCUUUGAGUAUAUGACGCCAGUUGUAUAUGAGCCAUUGUUGAGAUACCACUCUUUCUUAUUUGGGUAGCUAACCAGCUUGAGUUAUCCUCAAGUGGGACAAUGUCUGGUGGGUAGUUUGACUGGGGCGGUCGCCUCCCAAAUAAUAACGGAGGCUUACAAAGGUUGGCUCAGAACGGUUGGAAAUCGUUCGUAGAGUAUAAAGGUAUAAGCCAGCUUAACUGCAAGACAUACAAGUCAAGCAGAGACGAAAGUCGGUCUUAGUGAUCCGGUGGUUCUGUGUGGAAGGGCCAUCGCUCAAAGGAUAAAAGGUACCCCGGGGAUAACAGGCUGAUCUCCCCCAAGAGCUCACAUCGACGGGGAGGUUUGGCACCUCGAUGUCGGCUCAUCGCAUCCUGGGGCUGGAGCAGGUCCCAAGGGUAUGGCUGUUCGCCAUUUAAAGCGGUACGCGAGCUGGGUUCAGAACGUCGUGAGACAGUUCGGUCCCUAUCUGCCGUGGGCGUAAGAAGAUUGAAGAGAUUUGACCCUAGUACGAGAGGACCGGGUUGAACAAACCACUGGUGUAGCUGUUGUUCUGCCAAGAGCAUCGCAGCGUAGCUAAGUUUGGAAAGGAUAAACGCUGAAAGCAUCUAAGCGUGAAGCCAACUCUAAGAUGAAUCUUCUCUAAGCUCUCUAGAAGACUACUAGUUUGAUAGGCUGGGUGUGUAAUGGAUGAAAGUCCUUUAGCUGACCAGUACUAAUAGAGCGUUUGGCUUAUCUUU
rnacentral:rRNA from 1 species